rnacentral:rRNA from 1 species
UACGUAGGGUGCAAGCGUUUGUCCGGAAUUAUUGGGCGUAAAGAGCUCGUAGGCGGUUCGUCGCGUCGGCUGUGAAAACCCGAGGCUCAACCUCGGGCCUGCAGUCGAUACGGGCGGACUGGAGUUCGGCAGGGGAGACUGGAAUUCCUGGUGUAGCGGUGAAAUGCGCAGAUAUCAGGAGGAACACCGAUGGCGAAGGCAGGUCUCUGGGCAUUAACUGACGCUGAGGAGCGAAAGCAUGGGGAGCGAACAGG